UACGUAGGUGGCGAGCGUUGUCCGGAAUUACUGGGUGUAAAGGGCGUGUAGGCGGGAGAAUAAGUCAGAUGUGAAAUUCCGGGGCUCAACCCCGGCGCUGCAUCUGAAACUAUUUUUCUUGAGUGCUGGAGAGGAAAGCGGAAUUCCUAGUGUAGCGGUGAAAUGCGUAGAUAUUAGGAGGAACACCAGUGGCGAAGGCGGCUUUCUGGACAGUAACUGACGCUGAGGCGCGAAAGCGUGGGGAGCAAACAGG
rnacentral:rRNA from 2 species